CCUACGGGGUGCAGCAGUGAGGAAUAUUGGUCAAUGGCCGGAAGGCUGAACCAGCCAAGCCGCGUGAAGGACGAAGGUGCCAAGCAUUGUAAACUUCUUUUGUCAAGGGACAAAAUCAGGCUCGAGAGCCUGACCGAGGGUACUUGAAGAAAAAGCAUCGGCUAACUCCGUGCCAGCAGCCGCGGUAAUACGGAGGAUGCGAGCGUUAUCGGGAUUUAUUGGGGUUAAAGGGUGCGUAGGGGGGCUGUUAAGUCAGCGGUAAAAGCCCGGGGCUCAACCCCGGCGAGCCGUUGAAACUGGGUGUCUUGAGAUGUCGAGGGGUAUGCGGAAUGCGCAGUGUAGCGGUGAAAUGCUUAGAUA
rnacentral:rRNA from 1 species